CUUAUGUGCAUCAACUUCUUGCAGCUAUGCGAGCCAAAGAUUCUACCAUGCACGUACGUCGCCGCCGCGAGGGUCAUGUGCCAGCAGAUCUAAAUCUAUACAAAAGGUAAUGCUAUAUGUGGAUAUGAAAGUCAAUGGUGUACAUUUGAAGGGAUACAAAAAUAAUUUCAUGUGUACUUUUGGAGUCUUCCAAGUUGUGCUGGGAACUAGGCAUACAGGAAAAGGAAGGAGCCUGAUGUAGAGAAGCAAAA